rnacentral:rRNA from 1 species
CCUGACGUAGACGCUAGUUUCACAGAUUGAUCCAUGCAAUUUUUGGGAACCUAUUAUUAGGGGACCGGAGGAAGGCUCAGUAACGGGUAUCUAUUUGCUCUCGGUGUGUGAAUAACCUCAGGAAACGGAGGCUAAAAGCGAAGAGACUAAGGGACCAGGUCAUCAGUUAGUAGGUAGGGUAAGGGCCUACCUAGACGUGGACGACUACGGGGAAGAUGAUUUCUAUUUCCGGA